GACGAACGCUGGCGGCGUGCUUAACACAUGCAAGUCGAACGGAAAGGCCCUGCUUGCAGGGUACUCGAGUGGCGAACGGGUGAGUAACACGUGGGUGAUCUGCCCUGCACUUCGGGAUAAGCUUGGGAAACUGGGUCUAUUACCGGAUAGGAGCCAUCUUUAGUGUGGUGGUUGGAAAGUUUUUUCGGUGUAGGAUGAGCUCGCGGCCUAUCAGCUUGUUGGUGGGGUAAUGGCGUACCAAGGCGGCGACGGGUAGCCGGCCUGAGAGGGUGUACGGCCAGACUGGGCUUGUGCGAGGGCCCAGACUCCGACGGGAGGCAGCAGGGGGGAAUAUUGCACAAUGGGCGCAAGCCUGAUGCAGCGAGGCCGCGUGGGGGAUGAAGGCCUUCGGGUUGUAAACACCUUUCGCUAGGGACGAAGCGUUGUUGUGACGGUACCUAGAUAAGAAGCACCGGCUAACUACGUG
rnacentral:rRNA from 1 species